CACGUAGGGGGCAAGCGUUGUCCGGAUUUACUGGGCGUAAAGGGCGCGUAGGCGGCCUUCUAAGUCGAACGUGAAAUCCCGAGGCUCAACCUCGGGUCUGCAGUCGAUACGAGCAAACUAGAGUGUUGCAGGGGAGACUGGAAUUCCUGGUGUAGCGGUGAAAUGCGCAGAUAUCAGGAGGAACACCGGUGGCGAAGGCGGGUCUCUGGGCAAGCAGAUCGAGCGCUGAGGAGCGAAAGCGUGGGGAGCGAACAGG
rnacentral:rRNA from 1 species